UACGGGAGGCAGCAGUGGGGAAUAUUGCACAAUGGGCGAAAGCCUGAUGCAGCUAUGCCGCGUGUAUGAAGAAGGCCUUAGGGUUGUAAAGUACUUUCAUCGGGGAGGAAAAAACAAAACUAAUAAUUUUAUUUCUUGACGUUACCCGAAAAAGAAGCACCGGCUAACUCCGUGCCAGCAGCCGCGGUAAUACGGAGGGUGCUAGCGUUAAUCAGAAUUACUGGGCGUAAAGAGCACGUAGGUGGUUUUUUUAAAGUCAGAUGUGAAAUCCCUGGGCUUAACCUAGGAACUGCAUUUUGAAACUGAAAUACUAGAGUAUCGUAGAGGGAGGUAGAAUUCUAGGUGUAGCGGUGAAAUGCGUAGAUAUCUGGAGGAAUACCUGUGGCGAAAGCGGCCUCCUAAACGAAUACUGACACUGAGGUGCGAAAGCGUGGGGAGCAAACGAGGAUUAGAUACCCGU
rnacentral:rRNA from 1 species